rnacentral:lncRNA from 1 species
UGCCUCCAAAUCUCUGAGCCUUUUCGUUCCUUUCAGCGGUUCACUGCCUAUCUCCCCGAGGAAAUCAGAAUGGGUAAACCUAGUCAUCCUUUGGUUUCCCCAAGGCGCCGCCCCCUACAGUCAGCCUUCCCAGAUUACCUUAGCAGUGAGCACUCUCUCCCUCAUAUUUACUGAUCUCUGCAAAUGUUGAGUCUUCUCCAUAACAAGCAAGCUCCUCGAGAGUGGGAAUUGGUGUUCGUAAUGUCGUUCCAUCCUCAGGGCCUGGCGCAGAGUAGGCUCUUCACCAACAUUUUGUUCUACUGAAUUAAACUGGACUCAAUCGCGCUAAAUUACACGGGACUGAACCAGAUAGGAACAGAGGAUGCUUUUCAGCAAACUGACUCCAGGGAGCCUGCAGGGCCAGGAGAAGGAUGGCAGAAAGGGGCCGGGAGACAGAUGUCCAGAGAAUCCAAUGCCCUUAUAGUUAUCACCUGGGUAAAUACAAGGGCCACUGUGUGCAUUUGACAGAUGAGGGAAAGGAGGCACAGACAGGUUAAAGAGCUUGUCUGUGAUUACCAAGUAAGUACCCAGAGGCAGGAUUUAAGUACAGGCCUCUUCUAAUUCUUGGGCCUCUAGGUGGCACAGUGAAUAGAAUGCUGUGCCUAGAGUCAGGAGGACCUGAGUUCAAAUACAACCUUAGACUAUAACUGUGUGACCCUGGACAAGUCCCUUAACCUUGUUUGCCUCACUUUACUCAUCUGUAAAAUGAGCUGGAGAAGGAAAUGGCAAACCUGAAAAACAGCUGAACAACAACGCCCCUGAUUCUAAAUCCUGCAGUCCACAUGCUAGAC